rnacentral:rRNA from 1 species
UACGGAGGGGCCUAGCGUUGUUCGGAAUUACUGGGCGUAAAGCGCACGUAGGCGGAUUUGUAAGUCAGGGGUGAAAUCCCGGGGCUCAACCUCGGAACUGCCUUUGAUACUGCAAAUCUCGAGUCCGGAAGAGGUGAGUGGAAUUCCUAGUGUAGAGGUGAAAUUCGUAGAUAUUAGGAAGAACACCAGUGGCGAAGGCGGCUCACUGGUCCGGUACUGACGCUGAGGUGCGAAAACGUGGGGAGCAAACAGG